UUCCCUGGAGUACAGUAGGGAAAGAAUUCAAUCAUUCCCAGUAUGGGUUGUAGUGGGGUAGAAAUAGGAGCACUAAGAACUUCAAAUGACAAGAGUCAGAACCAAGACUUUUGGCUUUUCAGAAAUGACACGGUAUAGAAAACUUGUGCUAUACUUAUUGUGGUUGUUAAGAUGGAGUGUCAACUUGAUUUACCUUGGAUGCUGCCCCAGAGGAUUAGUAAAGCCCCCUUCGCACACAGUUAACCUGGUCCCAGGCCUCCAGGAAAUUGGAGAAGGAUGGUAAAACACAGGACACUCCCAUUACAGCACAAACCCUGGUGCCAUCCCCCUGCUGAGGAAGUAAGCAACAAGCAACACGAACAGAAUUGUUCAGAUCUGCCCCAAUUCCUUCCUGACUUCUUGGGUGGCCUUCCAAGACAUA